UGCCUUUGAAUCAAGCUGUUCGUCUUGCC
rnacentral:piRNA from 1 species